AUUGAACGCUGGCGGCAUGCCUUACACAUGCAAGUCGAACGGCAGCACGGGAGCUUGCUCCUGGUGGCGAGUGGCGAACGGGUGAGUAAUAUAUCGGAACGUACCCAGUAGUGGGGGGAUAACACUUCGAAAGAAGUGCUAAUACCGCAUACGAUCUACGGAUGAAAGCGGGGGGAUCUUCGGACCUCGCGCUAUUGGAGCGGCCGAUAUCUGAUUAGCUAGUUGG
rnacentral:rRNA from 1 species